AAUCUUAAAAUUUUAAUUAAACUGCAAAUUUAAUAAAGAACAUAAAUUCUAAGAUUU
rnacentral:tRNA from 1 species